rnacentral:misc_RNA from 1 species
AUUGUUUUCAAAUUUUUGUAAUAAGAAUGAAGUUUGUCCGUUAGUUUUUUUCCAUAUCUGAAUUAAUCAGUGUUGGCCGCGUACUAGUUGUCAUAUAUAAAUUUUAGUACUUCUUAUGAUGACAAUACAGCAGUUUACUCAAGGAAUGGAGACGCAUGGAUUCACUUAUCUCACACGUGGGAAAGUAUCAACAUCCUACAUUAAUGGACUGGAGGAGGUCGAGAAUAUUGCAGGUUUAAUGCAGUCUACGUAUAAUAGUUACUCAAAGUAAUUAAAAUUCAAUUGAUAGAAGUGCAUCAAAAAGAUGGUGUCAUGAAACCCUGACCAUUACAUAAAAUGGCACUACGGCAGAUCACACAAGGCAUGCUGAGACAUGGAUUCACAUUUCUCAC